rnacentral:rRNA from 1 species
AGAGUUUGAUCCUGGCUCAGGACGAACGCUGGCGGCGUGCUUAACACAUGCAAGUCGAACGAUGAAGCCCUUUCGGGGUGGAUUAGUGGCGAACGGGUGAGUAACACGUGGGCAAUCUGCCCUGCACUCUGGGACAAGCCCUGGAAACGGGGUCUAAUACCGGAUACUGAUCGCCUUGGGCAUCCUUGGUGAUCGAAAGCUCCGGCGGUGCAGGAUGAGCCCGCGGCCUAUCAGCUUGUUGGUGAGGUAAUGGCUCGCCAAGGCGACGACGGGUAGCCGGCCUGAGAGGGCGACCGGCCACACUGGGACUGAGACACGGCCCAGACUCCUACGGGAGGCAGCAGUGGGGAAUAUUGCACAAUGGGCGAAAGCCUGAUGUAGCGACGCCGCGUGAGGGAUGACGGCCUUCGGGUUGUAAACCUCUUUCAGCAGGGAAGAAGCGAAAGUGACGGUACCUGCAGAAGAAGCGCCGGCUAACUACGUGCCAGCAGCCGCGGUAAUACGUAGGGCGCGAGCGUUGUCCGGAAUUAUUGGGCGUAAAGAGCUCGUAGGCGGCUUGUCGCGUCGGUUGUGAAAGCCCGGGGCUUAACCCCGGGUCUGCAGUCGAUACGGGCAGGCUAGAGUUCGGUAGGGGAGAUCGGAAUUCCUGGUGUAGCGGUGAAAUGCGCAGAUAUCAGGAGGAACACCGGUGGCGAAGGCGGAUCUCUGGGCCGAUACUGACGCUGAGGAGCGAAAGCGUGGGGAGCGAACAGGAUUAGAUACCCUGGUAGUCCACGCCGUAAACGGUGGGCACUAGGUGUGGGCGACAUUCCACGUCGUCCGUGCCGCAGCUAACGCAUUAAGUGCCCCGCCUGGGGAGUACGGCCGCAAGGCUAAAACUCAAAUGAAUUGACGG